rnacentral:rRNA from 1 species
AUGGCAGCCAAUCCAGAUCGGGAGGUGUGCCACCGGGCAGGGAGAGGAGGGAAGAUGCUGCUGCCGGUGAUGGCCGUCUUGGCGGCGGCGGUGCUGGCGUCGCUGCCGUCGGCGGCGGUGGCGACCAACUACACGGUGGGCGACGAGAAGGGGUGGAACCCCAAGGUGGACUACACCUCCUGGGUGAAGAAGCACCGCCCCUUCUACAAGGGCGACUGGCUCCUGUUCGAGUACCAGAAUGGGCGGUCGGACGUGGUGCAGGUGGACGAGGUCGGGUACGACAACUGCGACAAGGAGAGCGCCAUCAGCAGCCACAGCAAGGGGACCAGCUACGCGUUCCAGCUCAAGGAGGCCAAGGACUACUUCUUCAUCUGCAGCUACGGCUACUGCUACUCCGGCAUGAAGCUCGCCGUCACCGCCAAGAAGGGCCCCGCCUCUUCCUCCCCCGACUCCGGCUCAUCCUCCUCCUCCUCGCCGGCCGCCAAGUCAUCCUCCAAAUCCGCCGCCGCCCCCAUCGCCGCCCGCAACGCCGCCGCCCUCGCCGCCGCCAUGCUACUCAGGUUGCUCUGA